GAGGGUGUAGCUCAGGUAGUAGAGCACAUGCUUAGCAUGCACGAGGUCCUGGGUUCGAUCCCCAGCACCUCCU
rnacentral:tRNA from 1 species